GAUGAACGCUGGCGGCGUGCCUAAUACAUGCAAGUCGAGCGAACGGACGAGAAGCUUGCUUCUCUGAUGUUAGCGGCGGACGGGUGAGUAACACGUGGAUAACCUACCUAUAAGACUGGGAUAACUUCGGGAAACCGGAGCUAAUACCGGAUAAUAUUUUGAACCGCAUGGUUCAAAAGUGAAAGACGGUCUUGCUGUCACUUAUAGAUGGAUCCGCGCUGCAUUAGCUAGUUGGUAAGGUAACGGCUUACCAAGGCAACGAUGCAUAGCCGACCUGAGAGGGUGAUCGGCCACACUGGAACUGAGACACGGUCCAGACUCCUACGGGAGGCAGCAGUAGGGAAUCUUCCGCAAUGGGCGAAAGCCUGACGGAGCAACGCCGCGUGAGUGAUGAAGGUCUUCGGAUCGUAAAACUCUGUUAUUAGGGAAGAACAUAUGUGUAAGUAACUGUGCACAUCUUGACGGUACCUAAUCAGAAAGCCACGGCUAACUACGUGCCAGCAGCCGCGGUAAUACGUAGGUGGCAAGCGUUAUCCGGAAUUAUUGGGCGUAAAGCGCGCGUAGGCGGUUUUUUAAGUCUGAUGUGAAAGCCCACGGCUCAACCGUGGAGGGUCAUUGGAAACUGGAAAACUUGAGUGCAGAAGAGGAAAGUGGAAUUCCAUGUGUAGCGGUGAAAUGCGCAGAGAUAUGGAGGAACACCAGUGGCGAAGGCGACUUUCUGGUCUGUAACCGACGCUGAUGUGCGAAAGCGUGGGGAUCAAACAGGAUUAGAUACCCUGGUAGUCCACGCCGUAAACGAUGAGUGCUAAGUGUUAGGGGGUUUCCGCCCCUUAGUGCUGCAGCUAACGCAUUAAGCACUCCGCCUGGGGAGUACGACCGCAAGGUUGAAACUCAAAGGAAUUGACGGGGACCCGCACAAGCGGUGGAGCAUGUGGUUUAAUUCGAAGCAACGCGAAGAACCUUACCAAAUCUUGACAUCCUUUGACAACUCUAGAGAUAGAGCUUUCCCCUUCGGGGGACAAAGUGACAGGUGGUGCAUGGUUGUCGUCAGCUCGUGUCGUGAGAUGUUGGGUUAAGUCCCGCAACGAGCGCAACCCUUAAGCUUAGUUGCCAUCAUUAAGUUGGGCACUCUAAGUUGACUGCCGGUGACAAACCGGAGGAAGGUGGGGAUGACGUCAAAUCAUCAUGCCCCUUAUGAUUUGGGCUACACACGUGCUACAAUGGACAAUACAAAGGGCAGCGAAACCGCGAGGUCAAGCAAAUCCCAUAAAGUUGUUCUCAGUUCGGAUUGUAGUCUGCAACUCGACUACAUGAAGCUGGAAUCGCUAGUAAUCGUAGAUCAGCAUGCUACGGUGAAUACGUUCCCGAGUCU
rnacentral:rRNA from 1 species